AGGGCGCAUGGUGGAUGCCUUGGCAUGCUGAGCCGAUGAAGGACGUGUAAGGCUGCGUUAAGCCUCGGGGAGUUGUCAAUAAAGCGUUGAUCCGAGGAUGUCCGAAUGGGGAAACCCAGGCGAUGAAUGCCGCCUAUCCACUUCUGAAUUCAUAGGGAGUGAGAAGCCCACGCAGGGAAGUGAAACAUCUCAGUACCUGCAGGAAGAGAAAACAAAAGUGAUUCCGUGAGUAGUGGCGAGCGAAAGCGGAUGAGGCUAAACCUGUGCUGUGUCAAGCCGGCGGGCGUUGCAGUGUGGGUGUUGUGGGACCGGUCGUAUCACCUCUGCCGGGGUGGUGAUGGUGAUUGUGUGGUGUUAGCGGAAGACCUCUGGAAAGGGUUGCCGUAGUGGGUGAGAGCCCCGUACGCGAAAACACUGCCGUUGUCAUGGAUCGUGUUCCCGAGUAGCAGCGGGCUCGUGGAAUCUGCUGUGAAUCUGCCGGGACCACCCGGUAAGCCUAAAUACUCAGUGUGACCGAUAGUGGAUAGUACCGUGAGGGAAUGGUGAAAAGUACCCCGGGAGGGGAGUGAAAUAGUACCUGAAACCAUGUGCCUACAAACCGUCGGAGCCUCCUUGUUGGGGUGACGGCGUGCCUUUUGAAGAAUGAGCCUGCGAGUUAGUGGCAUGUGGCGAGGUUAACCCGUGUGGGGAAGCCGUAGCGAAAGCGAGUCUGAAUAGGGCGAUUCAGUCGCGUGUCCUAGACCCGAAGCGGAGUGAUCUACCCAUGGCCAGGUUGAAGCGCGUGUAAGAGCGCGUGGAGGACCGAACCCACUUCAGUUGAAAAUGGAGGGGAUGACCUGUGGUUAGGGGUGAAAGGCCAAUCAAACUCGGAAAUAGCUGGUUCUCCGCGAAAUCUAUUUAGGUAGAGCCUCGAGUGAAUACCCCAGGGGGUAGAGCACUGGAUGGGCUAUGGGGACUCACCGUCUUACUGAUCCUAACCAAACUCCGAAUACCUGGAUGUCUUAUCCGGCAGACACACUGUGGGUGCUAACGUUCAUAGUGGAAAGGGAAACAACCCUGACCGCCAGCUAAGGUCCCCAAGUCAUGGCUAAGUGGGAAAGGAUGUGAGGAUCCCAAAACAACCAGGAUGUUGGCUUAGAAGCAGCCACCAUUUAAAAAGUGCGUAAUAGCUUACUGGUCUAGUGAGCCCGCGCCGAAAAUGUAACGGGGCUAAAGCGCAGCACCGAAGCCACGGAUUCUCGAAAGAGAGUGGUAGGCGAGCGUCGUCAAGGAGAUACACGGUGGACGGAGACGACCACUAGCGGCCUUGACGAGUGACUAUGCGGGCAUGAGUAGCGAUAAACCGGGUGAGAAACCCGGUCGCCGUAAGCCCAAGGUUUCCUGGGGAAGGAUAAUCCUCCCAUGGGUUAGUCGGGUCCUAAGCCGAGGCCGAAAGGCGUAGGUGAUGGAAAGCAGGUUAAUAUUCCUGCACCACCAAGGAUGGCGUUGAAGCAAGCGGGGACGGAGAAGGGUAGCUCUUCACGGCGCAUGGUCGUCCGUGUUCAAGCCCGUAGGAUGGACUGCUAGGACCCGAUAGGGACAAACGGCAGCUUAAAGCCGAGAGGUGAUGAGGUCAGCUCCUAGAGCUGGACACUGGGUAAUCCCAUGCUUCCAAGAAAAGCCGCGUGCAGAGCCUCUUUGGUGAUCGUACUGCAAACCGACUCAGGUGGGCGGGAAGAAUAUUCCAAGGCGCGUGAGAGAACCCCGGUUAAGGAACUCGGCAAAUUGACACCGUAACUUCGGAAGAAGGUGUGCCUUUAGUCAGUGAAGCCCCUCGCGGGUGGAGCUAAACGAGGCCGCAGAGAAUCGGUGGCUGCGACUGUUUAAUAAAAACACAGCACUCUGCAAAGACGAAAGUCGACGUAUAGGGUGUGACGCCUGCCCGGUGCUGGAAGAUUAAAUGAUGGGGUGCAAGCUCUUGAUUGAAGUCCCAGUAAACGGCGGCCGUAACUAUAACGGUCCUAAGGUAGCGAAAUUCCUUGUCGGGUAAGUUCCGACCUGCACGAAUGGAGUAACGACUUCCCCGCUGUCUCAACCAUAGACCCGGCGAAAUUGAAGUACGAGUAAAGAUGCUCGUUAGCUGCAGAAGGACGGAAAGACCCCGUGGACCUUUACUACAACUUGAUGUUGGGUUUUGGUAUGCGUUGUGUAGGAUAGGUGGGAGACUUGGAAGCAUUGGCGCCAGCCAGUGUGGAGUCAUCGUUGAAAUACCACUCUGGUCACUCUGGACAUCUAACUUCGGCCCGUGAUCCGGGUCAGGGACAGUGCCUGAUGGGUAGUUUAACUGGGGCGGUUGCCUCCCAAAAUGUAACGGAGGCGCCCAAAGGUCCCCUCAGCCUGGUUGGCAAUCAGGUGUUGAGUGCAAGUGCACAAGGGAGCUUGACUGUGAGAGUGGCAGCUCGAGCAGGGACGAAAGUCGGGACUAGUGAUCCGGCACUGGCUUGUGGAAGCGGUGUCGCUCAACGGAUAAAAGGUACCUCGGGGAUAACAGGCUGAUCUUGCCCAAGAGUCCAUAUCGACGGCAUGGUUUGGCACCUCGAUGUCGGCUCGUCGCAUCCUGGGGCUGGAGUAGGUCCCAAGGGUUGGGCUGUUCGCCCAUUAAAGCGGUACGCGAGCUGGGUUCAGAACGUCGUGAGACAGUUCGGUCCCUAUCCGCUGCGCGCGUUGGAAAUUUGAGAAGGUCUGUCCUUAGUACGAGAGGACCGGGACGGACGAACCUCUGGUAUGUCAGUUGUACCGCCAGGUGCAUGGCUGAUUAGCUACGUUCGGGAUGGAUAACCGCUGAAAGCAUCUAAGCGGGAAGCCCACCUUAAGAUUAGAUUUCCCUAAAGAGCCGUUGU
rnacentral:rRNA from 1 species